rnacentral:lncRNA from 1 species
GGGUCAUCGAGGCCCAGGCCGGGCUCACAGCAGGCAGAGUGGGGUCAGCGGAGGCCCGGGACAGGUUCUCAGUGGACAGGGUGGGGUCAUCGAGGCCCAGGCCGGGCUCAUAGCAGGCAGAGUGGGGUCAGCGGAGGCCCGGGACAGGUUCUCAGUGGACAGGGUGGGGUCAUCGAGGCCCAGGCCGGGCUCACAGCAGGCAGAGUGGGGUCAGCGGAGGCCCAGGACAGGUUCUCAGUGGACAGGGUGGGGACAUCGAGGCCCAGGCCGGGCUCACAGCAGGCAGAGUGGGGUCAGCGGAGGCCCGGGACAGGUUCUCAGUGGACAGGGUGGGGUCAUCGAGGCCCAGGCCGGGCUCACAGCAGGCAGAGUGGGGUCAGCGGAGGCCCGGGACAGGUUCUGUGGACAGGGUGGGGUCAUCGAGGCCCAGGCCGGGCUCACAGCAGGCAGAGUGGGGUCAGCGGAUGCCCAGGACAGGUGUUCAGUGGGCAGGGUGGGGACAUCGAGGCCCAGGCCGGGCUCACAGCAGGCAGAGUGGGGUCAGCGGAGGCCCGGGACAGGUUCUCAGUGGACAGGGUGGGGUCAUCGAGGCCCAGGCCGGGCUCACAGCAGGCAGAGUGGGGUCAGCGGAUGCCCAGGACAGGUGUUCAGUGGGCAGGGUGGGGACAUCGAGGCCCAGGCCGGGCUCACAGCAGGCAGAGUGGGGUCAGCGGAGGCCCAGGACAGGUUCUCAGUGGGCAGGGUGAGGACACCGAGGCCCAGGCCAGGCUCGCGACGGGCAGAGUGGGGUCAGCGGAGGCCCAGGACAGGUUCUCAGUGGACAGGGUGGGGACAUCGAGGCCCAGGCCAGGCUCACAGCAGGCAGAGUGGGGUCAGCGGAGGCCCAGGACAGGUUCUCAGUGGGCAGGGUGAGGACACCGAGGCCCAGGCUGGGCUCGCGACGGGCAGAGUGGAGCUGGCAUCUGCUCCUCAUCCACACCCCAGCCUCCCCGACUCAUGGAGGAGUCUGACCAGACAAGCCUCUCGUCGGAGCAAGCCCACACUAGACAGAGACCGUGGGCAUCCAGCGGCGCUGGCCAGUGGCCC